AUUGAACGCUGGCGGCAGGCCUAACACAUGCAAGUCGAGCGGAACGGCGGACGGGUGAGUAAUGCCUGGGAAGCUGCCUGCUAGUGGGGGGUAACGUACGGCAACGAGCGCUAGUACCGCCUGCUAUCAGCUGACGCUAGGUUGGAUUAGCUAGUUGGUGGGGUAAAGGCCUACCAAGGCGACGAUCCGUAACUGGGCUGAGAGGAUGAUCAGUCACACUGGAACUGAGACACGGUCCAGACUCCUACGGGAGGCAGCAGUGGGGAAUAUUGGACAAUGGGCGAAAGCCUGAUCCAGCCAUGCCGCGUGUGUGAAGAAGGUCUUCGGAUUGUAAAGCACUUUAAGUUGGGAGGCGUUACCAACAGAAUAAGCACCGGCUAACUUCGUGCCAGCAGCCGCGGUAAUAC
rnacentral:rRNA from 1 species